UUGAUGGUCUAAUGGUAAGGACACUUGCCUCUGACUCUGGAGUCCCGGGUUCGAUCCCCGGUCGAGGAG